rnacentral:rRNA from 1 species
CCUACGGGAGGCAGCAGUGGGGAAUUUUGGACAAUGGGCGAAAGCCUGAUCCAGCAAUGCCGCGUGAGUGAAGAAGGCCUUCGGGUUGUAAAGCUCUUUUGUCAGGGAAGAAACGGUGAAAGCUAAUAUCUUUUGCUAAUGACGGUACCUGAAGAAUAAGCACCGGCUAACUACGUGCCAGCAGCCGCGGUAAUACGUAGGGUGCAAGCGUUAAUCGGAAUUACUGGGCGUAAAGCGUGCGCAGGCGGUUUUGUAAGUCUGAUGUGAAAUCCCCGGGCUCAACCUGGGAAUUGCAUUGGAGACUGCAAGGCUAGAAUCUGGCAGAGGGGGGUAGAAUUCCACGUGUAGCAGUGAAAUGCGUAGAUAUGUGGAGGAACACCGAUGGCGAAGGCAGCCCCCUGGGUCAAGAUUGACGCUCAUGCACGAAAGCGUGGGGAGCAAACAGGAUUAGAUACCCUGGUAGUCCACGCCCUAAACGAUGUCUACUAGUUGUCGGGUCUUAAUUGACUUGGUAACGCAGCUAACGCGUGAAGUAGACCGCCUGGGGAUACGGUCGCAAGNUUAAAACCGUUAAAGAUAGUGCGNGNGAGAGCGACGACGACGACGACGGAGGAGGNGG